UGAAGGUCGGUAUAACCGCCGGGCAAGGGUAAACUCGGUGACUAGGGCUAAGUCGUAACAAGGUAGCCGUACCGGAAGGUGCGGCUGGAACACCUCCUUU
rnacentral:rRNA from 1 species